rnacentral:tRNA from 1 species
GCCGCGAUGGGGAGCAGGUCGCCCCAGGCGGCGUUCUCGUCCGCGCCCGACUUCACGGCUACCGUGGCCGCGGCGAUCGUCUCGCCGAGCACGAUG